GGGAUAGGGGAUUAGUCCUUUCCGAGUGCCUUCGCGAAUGCUGAUCAUCUGAGUCCGCAUCUGGGGCGAGACGAUUGGUCCUUCGCGAGUGCCUGCGUGAAUGCUGA